GAUGAACGCUGGCGGUGUGCCUAAUACAUGCAAGUCGAGCGAACAGACGAGGAGCUUGCUCCUCUGACGUUAGCGGCGGACGGGUGAGUAACACGUGGAAAACCUACCUAUAAGACUGGGAUAACUUCGGGAAACCGGAGCUAAUACCGGAUAAUAUAUUGAACCGCAUGGUGCAAUAGUGAAAUACGGUUUUGCUGUCACUUAUAGAUGGAUCCGCGCCGCAUUAGCUAGUUGGUAAGGUAACGGCUUACGAAGGCAACGAUGCGUAGCCGACCUGAGGGGUGGAUCGGCCACAUGAGAACUGAGACACGGUCCAGACUCCUACGGGAGGCAGCAGUAGCGAAUCUUCCGCAAUGGGCGAAAGCCUGACGGAGCAACGCCGCGUGAGUGAUGAAGGUCUUCGGAUCGUAAAACUCUGUUAUUAGGGAAGAACAAAUGUGUAAGUAACUAUGCACGUCUUGACGGUACCUAAUCAGAAAGCCACGGCUAACUACGUG
rnacentral:rRNA from 1 species